UCAUACAAGUCUCUUUCAGUGUUUUAUGUCAAAGUUAUUUCAGUAUAACCUAUUUGAAGAUAACCUUUACAGAUUAACAUUAGAUAUGCUUUCGGUGUCUGGUAAAUACAGAAACAAUCAGUAUUGGCUCUAAAUAUGUAGCAUUAAUUUAAACAUUUUUUAAAAAGCAUAUAUAAGGAGUGUCUUUUGUUUCAUGCACUUGCUGUGAUUGGCUGAUAAAUAUUUGUCAAAGAAAGAGAGAACUGAAAGCUCGCACGGUGUGGCUUGGAUAUCCUGAAAAGUGUGAAGAAAAGCAUCCCGGAAAUUCUAUAAAAAAUAAAAAAUACAAUGUAUUUACCUUUAUACCUGGGGUUUUAUAUGAACAAUUCAAGUUUUUCUUGAAUCUCUAUUUUCUGGUAGUAUCCUGCUCACAGUUUGUGCCAGCAUUGAAAAUAGGCUAUCUCUACACCUACUGGGCUCCUCUGGGAUUUGUUUUGGCUGUUACUAUCAUGAGGGAAGCAAUUGAUGAAUUCCGGCGUUUUCAGCGAGACAAGGAAGUGAAUUCACAGCUAUACAGCAAGCUUACAGUAAGAGGUUAGCAAGACCCUUUUGAUCUAGCUUAUCAU